GACGAACGCUGGCGGCGUGCUUAACACAUGCAAGUCGAACGGAAAGGCCCUGCUUUUGUGGGGUGCUCGAGUGGCGAACGGGUGAGUAACACGUGAGUAACCUGCCCUUGACUUUGGGAUAACUUCAGGAAACUGGGGCUAAUACCGGAUAGGAGCUCCUGCUGCAUGGUGGGGGUUGGAAAGUUUCGGCGGUUGGGGAUGGACUCGCGGCUUAUCAGCUUGUUGGUGGGGUAGUGGCUUACCAAGGCUUUGACGGGUAGCCGGCCUGAGAGGGUGACCGGCCACAUUGGGACUGAGAUACGGCCCAGACUCCUCCGGGAGGCAGCAGUGGGGAAUAUUGCACAAUGGGCGGGAGCCUGAUGCAGCAACGCCGCGUGCGGGAUGACGGCCUCCGGGUUGUAAACCGCUUUCGCCUGUGACGAAGCGUGAGUGACGGUAAUGGGUAAAGAAGCACCGGCUAACUACGUG
rnacentral:rRNA from 1 species